UGCACCCAAGAGGCCCCAAGUUCAGUUCGAAGGUGACUGUGUAAAGAUUAGGAAUCUGGACCAAACUCUCUAGGCUGACAUUGGAGAGGAGGAGAGGGGCAAGGGAGAAAGGAGGCGGUCCUGGACCAUGGAUGGGUGGAUGAGCAACUGUGAGCAGAUUUCCUGAUGGUUCACUGCAGUAACCAGAGGCUGCUCCUUAAAAGCUAUGGAAAGAGGGAGAGACUUCUGUAGGACCUGAGGAGGCAGUUGGUAUGGUGAAUGUUGGGACUCCUAGAAAUGACCACGGGAUGAUAGAGUUCAUCUGGUCUAACUCCUGUCACCCUUUAUUUUUACAGGCACUACUUGGUGAUGGUCCUUUUGUGAGCAGGGAUUCCGGAGGUGCUGGACAAGGGCCGGCAUGUGUGAGAGAAGAUUGGAUUGUUUGAAGAAGGUAAAACUGGAAGAAGAAUCAACAAACUCACAGAGUAACAGAGUUCCUGACAAUGAAGCAUGUUGAAGCAUCCUCUCUUAAACUGAAGCACUGCUAUCCCUGAAAUCCAUAUGGUUGGUGAAGAGGAAAAAGUACAGGAACUGGAGUGAAGACUUGUUUUUGAAUUCUAGCUAUUCCAUUUACAUGUCCAAGAAAAGAAGUAAUUAUAUGACCAUUGGCAAGGCAGAAUGUGAGAAAUGCCAUAAGAAAUAGAUGAGCAAACCUUUCUGAGACUCAUUUUUCUCAUCUGUAAACUAUUUGUGCUAGCUACCUCAUGGGUUUGUUAGGGAAAAGAUGUG